GACGAACGCUGGCGGCGUGCCUAACACAUGCAAGUCGAACGGGACUGGGGGCAACUCCAGUUCAGUGGCGGACGGGUGCGUAACACGUGAGGAACAUGACUUUCGGUGGGGGAUAGCCGGCCCAACGGCCGGGUAAUACCGCGUACGACCUUUCGGGGACAUCCCCGGUUGGUGAAAGCAGCAAUGCGCCGAAAGAGUGCCUCGCGGCCUAUCAGCUAGUUGGUGGGGUAAUGGCCCACCAAGGCGACGACGGGUAGCUGGUCUGAGAGGAUGGCCAGCCACAUUGGGACUGAGACACGGCCCAGACUCCUACGGGAGGCAGCAGUGGGGAAUAUUGCGCAAUGGGCGAAAGCCUGACGCAGCGACGCCGCGUGUGGGAUGACGGCCUUCGGGUUGUAAACCACUGUCGGGAGGGACGAAUGCCCCGCAAGGGGAGUGACGGUACCUCCAAAGGAAGCACCGGCUAACUCCGUGCCAGCAGCCGCCGUAAGAC
rnacentral:rRNA from 1 species